UACGGGGGGAGCAAACGUUGUUCGGAAUUACUGGGCGUAAAGGGCGCGUAGGCGGUCCUGUAAGUGGUGUGUGAAAUCCGAUGGCUCAACCAUCGAGCUGCGCUCCAUACUGCAGGACUUGAGUACAGCAGAGGAAAGUGGAAUUCCCGGUGUAGCGGUGAAAUGCGCAGAUAUCAGGAGGAACACCGGUGGCGAAGGCGGGUCUCUGGGCAAUAACUGACGCUGAGGAGCGAAAAGCGUGGGGAGCGAACAGG
rnacentral:rRNA from 1 species